GUCGUAACAAGGUUUCCGUAGGUGAACCUGCGGAAGGAUCAUUAAAAUGUAUAAUCCACACCAAAACAACAACUUUACAACCCACUGUAAUGUGAACAUGUAGAUAUCAUGAGAAGACGCGACUGUGCGGUGUCUAACGACGCUGCGUGGUUGGGAGGACUCAUUGAUAGUUUCUUGUUCAAUCCACUCAGUAAAUCACCUCAUAUGCAUGUGCAUAUCUGGCUCUGAGACGUGUCACUGCUCUUGUUGGCAGUGAUGCUUUUUACCAAAAACAUUCUUACAACUUUUAGCAACGGAUGUCUAGGUUCUCGCAGCGAUGAAGAACGCAGCGAAAUGCGAUACGUAAUGCGAAUUGCAGAAUAUGUGAAUCAUCAAAUUUUUGAACGCAAAUUGCGCUUCCGGGUACUCCUGGAAGCAUGCCUGUUUCAGUGUCUGUUGACACCACUCGCAAGAGUAGUUUCUUAAGUGAUCUACUCUAUGGCGGACUCUGAUGCUUGUGGUUUAUGAUCGCAUGCAUUCAAGUAUGUAGACAUACAUUCCCCUCACCAGUACAGUACUUUUCAGUGCGGACGUGAGCAAGGUGGUUGCUUCGGCAAAAAACUAAGCUUACGAGUCGGCGAUGUGUUGUGCGCUAUGAGUGAGAGUGGAAGAUUAACGGUAUGUCCUGAAAGAUUUGUUUGGAAUCAAUUUUUAUAAAUUGGGCCUGAAAUCAGGCAAGAGGACCCGCUGAAUUUAAGCAUAUAACUAAGCGGAGGAAAAGAAACUAACCAGGAUUCCCUCAGUAACGGCGAGUGAAGUGGGAAUAGCUCAACUUGAAAAUCUCUACUCCUUGGGGUAGCGAAUUGUAGUCUAUAGGAGUAGUCACCAGUGUUCGUGCCGGAAUAAUUCAGGUGGAAUCUUGGACCAUGGAGGGUGAUAGUCCCGUUCUAUGUCUGGAUACGAACGCGUACGGUGCGCUUCCGACGAGUCGUGUUGCUUGGGACUGCAGCACUAAAGGGUGGUAAAUUCCAUCCAAAGCUAAAUACUGGCGAGAGACCGAUAGCGAACAAGUACUGUGAAGGAAAGAUGAAAAGAACUUUGAAAAGAGAGUCAAAAAGUACCUGAAAUUGUUAAAAGGAAAGUGUAUGAAACUAGUGUUGCUGUUGGACAUGUAUGUCCUGUGGCAGGUCACCAUGGCUUGGGUUUGGAGGAGAUGGUUCAUAGGAAGGUAGGUGCCUGCGGGCAUUGUUAUAGCCUGUGUUGUCCUGCUCUGGGCUCGAGUGAGGUUGCUUGGUACCCUUGUGUAUGAUGGGCCCUGCGAAGUAAUGUGUUUUGACUGCAUGCAGUGUUGACGUGUUAUGAGUAGACUCCCUGUUGUAUGCACGUGCCAACGAGAUGGUGACGAAAUGGUUUCCUACAGCCCGUCUUGAAACACGGACCAAGGAGUCUAGCAUGGAAGCGAGCGUUAGGGUGGCAAACCCGUGCGCGAAAUGAAAGUGAAGGUAGGUUAACCCCUGCUGAGGUGUGAACUGUAACAGGUGCAACAUCGACCGGUCACUGGCUUCGGUCAGAGAUCUGAGUAUGAGUUUUUAUGCUGGGACCCGAAAGAUGGUGAACUAUGCGUGA
rnacentral:rRNA from 1 species